rnacentral:rRNA from 1 species
AUUGAACGCUGGCGGCAGGCCUAACACAUGCAAGUCGAGCGGAAGAAGGGAGCUUGCUCCUGGAUCCAGCGGCGGACGGGUGAGUAAUGCCUAGGAACCUGCCUGGUCGUGGGGGAUAACGUCCCGAAACGGGCGCUAAUACCGCAUACGUCCUGAGGGAGAAAGCGGGGGAUCUUCGGACCUCACGCUAUCAGAUGAGCCUAGGUCGGAUUAGCUAGUUGGUGGGGUAAAGGCCUACCAAGGCGACGAUCCGUAACUGGUCUGAGAGGAUGAUCAGUCACACUGGAACUGAGACACGGUCCAGACUCCUACGGGAGGCAGCAGUGGGGAAUUUUGGACAAUGGGCGAAAGCCUGAUCCAGCCAUGCCGCGUGUGUGAAGAAGGUCUUCGGAUUGUAAAGCACUUUAAGUUGGGAGGAAGGGCAGUAAGUUAAUACCUUGCUGUUUUGACGUUACCAACAGAAUAAGCACCGGCUAACUUCGUG